rnacentral:ncRNA from 20 species
GUCGGCGUCGUCACCGUGCAGCCGCAAGCCGUGCCGGCGGUGACCGAACUGCCGGGCCGCACCAGUGCAUUCCUCGUCGCGCAGGUGCGUGCGCGGGUCGACGGCAUCGUGCUGCGUCGUGAAUUCACCGAAGGCACCGACGUCAAGGCCGGCCAGCGUCUGUACAAGAUCGA